rnacentral:piRNA from 1 species
UAGAGAAAAUUUAGUUUCCAG